rnacentral:rRNA from 1 species
AGGGAAUCUUCGGCAAUGGGGGCAACCCUGACCGAGCAACGCCGCGUGAGUGAAGAAGGUUUUCGGAUCGUAAAGCUCUGUUGUAAGUCAAGAACGGGUGUGAGAGUGGAAAGUUCACACUGUGACGGUAGCUUACCAGAAAGGGACGGCUAACUACGUGCCAGCAGCCGCGGUAAUACGUAGGUCCCGAGCGUUGUCCGGAUUUAUUGGGCGUAAAGCGAGCGCAGGCGGUUUGAUAAGUCUGAAGUUAAAGGCUGUGGCUCAACCAUAGUUCGCUUUGGAAACUGUCAAACUUGAGUGCAGAAGGGGAGAGUGGAAUUCCAUGUGUAGCGGUGAAAUGCGUAGAUAUAUGGAGGAACACCGGUGGCGAAAGCGGCUCCCUGGUCUGUAACUGACGCUGAGGCUCGAAAGCGUGGGGAGCGAACAGGAUUUAGAUACCCCUGG